GGGAAAGACGGGGUGAGACGAGGCAGGGCAAGGCGAGACAGGGCGAGGUUGGACAAGGCGGGGCGGGGCAAGGCGAGGCGGCGCAAGGCUAGGCGUGGCGGGGUGAGGCCAGGCAAGGCGGGGCGAGGCGAGUUGUAACAGGCGAAGUGUGGUUGGGUGAGGGGAAUCGAGGUGGAACGAGGUGAAGUGAGGCGGGGCAAGGCGAGGCGAGGUGUGGUGGGGCGAGACAGGGCGGGGCGAGGUGGGGCGAGGUGGGGUGGGGCUAUGCGUUUCGAGGCGGGAGAGGUGGAUUGAGGUGGGGCGAGGUGGGGCAAGGCGGGGUGAGGCGGGGCGAGGCGAGGGGAAGCGAGGCGGGGUG
ensembl:lncRNA